GGCUGUCGUCAGCUCGUGUUGUGAAAUGUUGGGUUAAGUCCCGCAACGAGCGCAACCCUUAUCCUUUGUUGCCAGCGGUCCGGCCGGGAACUCAAAGGAGACUGCCAGUGAUAAACUGGAGGAAGGUGGGGAUGACGUCAAGUCAUCAUGGCCCUUACGACCAGGGCUACACACGUGCUACAAUGGCGCAUACAAAGAGAAGCGACCUCGCGAGAGCAAGCGGACCUCAUAAAGUGCGUCGUAGUCCGGAUUGGAGUCUGCAACUCGACUCCAUGAAGUCGGAAUCGCUAGUAAUCGUGGAUCAGAAUGCCACGGUGAAUACGUUCCCGGGCCUUGUACACACCGCCCAUCACACCAUGGGAGUGGGUUGCAAAAGAAGUAGGUAGCUUAACCUUCGGGAGGGCGCUUACCACUUUGUGAUUCAUGACUGGGUGAAGUCGUAACAAGGUAACCGUAGGGGAACCUGCGGCUGGAUCACCUC
rnacentral:rRNA from 1 species